rnacentral:rRNA from 1 species
GUAGGUGGCAAGCGUUGUCCGGAAUUAUUGGGCGUAAAGCGCGCGCAGGUGGUUCUUUAAGUCUGAUGUGAAAGCCCCCGGCUCAACCGGGGAGGGUCAUUGGAAACUGGGGAACUUGAGUGCAGGAGAGGAGAGUGGAAUUCCACGUGUAGCGGUGAAAUGCGUAGAUAUGUGGAGGAACACCAGUGGCGAAGGCGACUUUCUGGCCUGUAACUGACACUGAGGCGCGAAAGCGUGGGGAGCAAACAGGGAUUAGAUACCCUGGUAGUCCACGCCGUAAACGAUGAGUGCUAAGUGUUGGGGGGGUUUCCGCCCCCUCAGUGCUGCAGCUAACGCAUUAAGCACUCCGCCUGGGAGUACGGUCGCAAGACUG